AUACGGAGGAUGCGAGCGUUAUCCGGAUUCAUUGGGUUUAAAGGGUGCGUAGGCUGUGCGUUAAGUCAGGGGUGAAAUACCGUCGCUCAACGUCGGGGCUGCCCUUGAUACUGGCGUGCUGGAGUGCGGAUGCCGCCGGAGGAAUGAGUGGUGUAGCGGUGAAAUGCUUAGAUAUCACUCAGAACACCGAUUGCGAAGGCAUCUGGCAAAUCCGUAACUGACGCGGAGGCACGAAAGCGUGGGGAAAGAACAGGAUUAGAUCCCCGGGUAUGCCACGCCGAAAACGAUGAUGGCUAACCGCCGGCGACAUAGUGUCGGUGGCCAAGCGAAAGCGAUAAGCCAUCCACCUGGGGAGUACGACCGCAAGGUUGAAACUCAAAUGAAUUGGCGGGG
rnacentral:rRNA from 1 species